AGAACGAACGCUGGCGGCGCGCUUAACACAUGCAAGUCGAACGAGAAGCUGUAGCAAUACAGUUGUAAAGUGGCAAACGGGUGAGUAAUGCGUGGGUAAUCUACCCUAGGGUGGGGAAUAACUCCUCGAAAGGGGAGCUAAUGCCGACAUGUGCAACACUUUCGCAAGUGAGUGUUGGAAAGCCGUACCGUGGGUGCGGCGCCCAAGGAUGAGCUCACGUCCUAUCAGCUUGUCGGCGGGGUAACGGCCCACCAAGGCUGCGACGGGUAGCUGGUCUGAGAGGACGACCAGCCACACUGGCACUGCGACACGGGCCAGACUCCUACGGGAGCAGCAGUGAGGAUAUUGCGCAAGU
rnacentral:rRNA from 1 species